UGCAUAUCAAUAAGCGGAGGAAAAGAAACCAACAGGGAUUGCCCUAGUAACGGCGAGUGAAGCGGCAACAGCUCAAAUUUGAAAGCUAGCCUUCGGGUUCGCAUUGUAAUUUGUAGAGGAUGAUUUGGGGAAGCCGCCUGUCUAAGUUCCUUGGAACAGGACGUCAUAGAGGGUGAGAAUCCCGUAUGUGACAGGAAAUGGCACCCUAUGUAAAUCUCCUUCGACGAGUCGAGUUGUUUGGGAAUGCAGCUCUAAAUGGGAGGUAAAUUUCUUCUAAAGCUAAAUAUUGGCGAGAGACCGAUAGCGCACAAGUAGAGUGAUCGAAAGAUGAAAAGCACUUUGGAAAGAGAGUUAAAAAGCACGUGAAAUUGUUGAAAGGGAAGCGCUUGCAAUCAGACUUGUUUAAACUGUUCGGCCGGUCUUCUGACCGGUUUACUCAGUUUGGACAGGCCAGCAUCAGUUUCGGCGGCCGGAUAAAGGCUCUGGGAAUGUGGCCUCCACUUCGGUGGAGGUGUUAUAGCCCAGGGUGUAAUACGGCCAGCCGGGACUGAGGUCCGCGCUUCGGCUAGGAUGCUGGCGUAAUGGUUGUAAGCGACCCGUCUUGAAACACGGACCA
rnacentral:rRNA from 1 species